UCUAUUUAUAUGAUAAGCCA
rnacentral:snRNA from 1 species